rnacentral:rRNA from 2 species
CCGCUGAACUUAAGCAUAUCAAUAAGCGGAGGAAAAGAAACUAACAAGGAUUCCCCUAGUAACUGCGAGUGAAGCGGGAAAAGCUCAAAUUUAAAAUCUGGCGGUCUUUGGCCGUCCGAGUUGUAGUCUGGAGAAGCGUCUUCCGCGCUGGACCGUGUAUAAGUCUCUUGGAACAGAGCGUCAUAGAGGGUGAGAAUCCCGUCUUUGACACGGACUACCAGUGCUUUGUGAUGCGCUCUCAAAGAGUCGAGUUGUUUGGGAAUGCAGCUCAAAAUGGGUGGUGAAUUCCAUCUAAAGCUAAAUAUUGGCGAGAGACCGAUAGCGAACAAGUACCGUGAGGGAAAGAUGAAAAGCACUUUGGAAAGAGAGUUAAACAGUACGUGAAAUUGCUGAAAGGGAAACGCUUGAAGUCAGUCGCGUUGUCCGGGACUCAGCCUUGCUUCGGCUUGGUGCACUUUCCGGAUGACGGGCCAGCAUCGAUUUUGACCGCUGGAAAAGGGCUGGAGGAAUGUGGCACCUUCGGGUGUGUUAUAGCCUCCAGUCGCAUACGGCGGUUGGGAUCGAGGAACGCAGCACGCCUCGUGGCGGGGGGUU